rnacentral:rRNA from 1 species
UACGAAGGGUGCAAGCGUUAAUCGGAAUUACUGGGCGUAAAGCGUGCGUAGGCGGUUGCUUAAGUCAGAUGUGAAAGCCCUGGGCUCAACCUGGGAAUGGCAUUUGAAACUGGGCAGCUAGAGUGUGAUAGAGGAUGGCGGAAUUCCGGGUGUAGUGGUGGAAUGCGUAGAGAUCCGGAGGAACACCAGCGGCGAAGGCGGCAUCCUGGACUGGUCCUGACACUCAAGAGCGAAAGCGUGGGAGCGAGUCCGG